UCCCCCGUGAGGGGGCAGUCUCGCCUGACAAAUAUAACAGGCAACGAGGGUUGCGUUCGUUACCCCACUGAAGGGAACGAUUCAAACCACGAACUGACGACAGCCAUGCAUCACCUGUCCAGCACCCUCGAAGGCUACUAAGGUUUCCCAAAGUAUGCAGCUGGAUUUCUAGCCCUGGUAAGGUUCUUCGCUUAGCGACGAAUUGAGCCACACGCUCCACCACUUGUGCAAGCCCCCGUCUAUUCCUUUGAGUUUUAGCCUUGCGGCCGUACUACCCAGGCGGAUCGCUUAACGCGUUAGCUUCGACUCGGAGAGGGUCGAUACUCCCCAAAUCCAGCGAUCAUCGUUUAGGGCGUGGACUAC
rnacentral:misc_RNA from 1 species